rnacentral:rRNA from 1 species
UACGGAGGGUGCGAACGUUAAUCGGAAUCACGGGGCGGAAAGCGCGCGUAGGCGGUUCGUUAAGGGGGAUGUGAAAUCCCCGGGCUUAACCUGGGAAUUGCAUUUCAAACUGGCCGACUAGAGUACGGUAGAGGGAGGUAGAAUUUCCUGUGUAGCGGUGAAAUGCGUAGAUAUAGGAAGGAAUACCAGUGGCGAAGGCGGCCUCCUGGAUCGAUACUGACGCUGAGGCGCGAAAGCGUGGGGAGCAAACAGG